GACAGCAUGACCGAGUGGUUAAGGUGCUUGACUCGAAAUCAAGUGGGAUUUUCCCGCACAGGUUCAAAUCCUGUUGCUGUCG
rnacentral:tRNA from 1 species